rnacentral:ncRNA from 2 species
CCUUUAUCCAGAGAGGUGGAGGGACGGGCCCGAUGAAACCCAGCAACCGGCCAUUAGGUCCGGUGCUAAUUCCUGCAGGAGGUAUUUCCUUCUGAAAGAUGAGGG